GACAAACGCUGGCGGCGUGCAUAAAACAUGCAAGUCGAACGGGCCAAUCUCCGCAAGGAGAAAGGCUAGUGGCGAACGGCUGAGUAACACGUAGGUGACCUGCCCCGAAGUGGGGGAUAACAACUCGAAAGAGUUGCUAAUACCGCAUGUGACCACCGAUUCAUUUCGGUGCUCAAAGUCGCAAGACGCUUUGGGAGGGGCCUGCGGCGGAUUAGCUAGUUGGUGGGGUAACGCCUACCAAGGCGUCGAUCCGUAGCUGGUCUGAGAGGAUGACCAGCCAGACUGGGACUGAGACACGGCCCAGACUCCUACGGGAGGCAGCAGUUAGGAAUUUUGCGCAAUGGGGGAAACCCUGACGCAGCCACGCCGCGUGCGGGAUGAAGGCC
rnacentral:rRNA from 1 species